UUUACCUUUUGUUGCUCUCUGACAAAGCACCAUGGCCAUAAGCAACUUAAAGAAAAAAUAAUUUGUUUUGGUUUACUAUUUCAGGAAGGGAAGAGAGUCCAUAACGGCCCAGAGGUAGCAUGGCAGCAAGCAGCCAGAGCCAAAGACUGGGAGAUCACAUCUCCAACCACAAACACAAAACAGAGAGUGAACUAGAAGCAAGGUUACCGACUCUCAAACCCAUCUCCAGUCAUGCACUUCCUCCAGCAAGGUUUCACCUCCAGAAGGUUCCAGGACCUUCCCAAACAGCGCCACCUACUGGAGGUCAGGUGUUCACAGAUAUGAGCCCAUGAGGGACAUUCCUCACUCAAAUCAGCCCAGAGAUUAUAGCCAACUUGAAAUGGUGUCUUAGGAAGACAGCAGAACAGCCACCAUCUCUGGCAGUGAUGCUCUGUCCACAUCUGCUGGUGCCCUCCUGGCCUAUGUCUGCCACUGGGACUCUACUUUACUUCUGUCAACGUUGUGAACUAGUUUAAUUGUAAGAAAAACAAACGCAAGACAUUAGAGACAAGGUAACUCACGGGCACCAGGAAAAGAUAUCCAUCCCACAAACUACCCUGAGGGAUGGUUUGGGCAUGCUCACUGGACUCCAGGUCAGAGGACGUUAACUUCCCUUGAGGCAGGAUGGUGCUAUUUUGCUAACUAGAAAGAUGUCUCAACUUUUUAAAGAUUAAAUCUGGAGACACUGUCGUCACAGAUGUCAAGGACCAAGGUGUGAAGUGGGGAAUUUGCAGCGGCAUCCAGAUUUAGAAGAGGUGGCUCACCUGAUCUCAAUGGACUUUCUUAUGGUCAAGGACUGAGCUGGCUGUGGCCAUAUGAGGUGAGGGUCCAUGACUGUGCUCCACACCCCUCCGUAUCCGAGGCCAGCAUCUUCGCCUGGACAUAUCUUCUAAUGGUGAUAUCACGCUGACUCUCGGAAUCUUCUCAUACCCUAUUCUACCAAGACCCCCUGCCGCGGGAGGAGAGACGAGCUCUGUGUGCCCCACUUAGGGUUGGGCGCUCUACAGCCUCUGAUUCCCUCCACACCAGCCAGCUGAAGGAGGUUUGUGAUAACCACCAUCUGCCUCAAGGAGAGGUUUCUCUGCCGAGGGCUGAGGGAUGUGCUGACCUAUGGUUGAAGCUGUAAGUCAUUACCAGUCAAGGUGGGAAUCAGCAUAGAUGAUUGGAAGGAACCUUUCCCACGUUCUCACUCCACAUUCGCUCCUUCCACACCCCAGUCUCACCUGCCUAGGAACACUCGCCAGCCUCUCCAGGAAAUCCAGCUACCCCCUUCAUGGUGGAAGGGCGGCCUCCUGUCCACACAGACACCUGGCCUCCAGAUGUCUAGCAAAAGCAGUUAAAAAAAGUGUUCCCCACUGCAGUCCCAGGACCCCAGGACAAGCCAACCCAGUGCUGUCAUCUGGGUUUCUACAGGCUGCAUGGAAAAACACCGGAGUUCAAGGGCUCACAAGCUAGGAAACUCUAUAAAGUAGCAGGCAUACCCCCUGCCCCCCGUUCCUCAGAUCUGAGCUGCUCACAUGCAAUGGGCUUCUGAACCACUUACUGCUUCAUAGAACAACACCUUCUGCAGUGAUUUCCCACUGGGGCAGCUGGCCCUGUGCAUCCACAUUCAGCCCAGAGGACUUCAUGACCAGGUCCUGAGCGACCCCGACCAUCACAUCACUCACAUUGGGGCUAGGCUGUCACCCGGGAAAGACGCUGACAUUUAGAGCUAAGUAGAGAUGACUGACAGGUAGGUAGGUAGGUAGGUAGGUAGGUAGGUAGGUAGGUAGAUUGAUAGAUAUAUAAACAGAUGACA